AUUGAACGCUGGCGGUAUGCUUAACACAUGCAAGUCGAACGGUAGCAGGCCUUCGGGCGCUGACGAGUGGCGGACGGGUGAGUAACGCGUAGGAAUCUGCCUCAUAGUGGGGGACAACGUGGGGAAACUCACGCUAAUACCGCAUACGCCCUACGGGGAAAGCGGGGGAUCUUCGGACCUCGCGCUAAUGAGAUGAGCCUGCGUUAGAUUAGCUAGUUGGUAGGUAAAGGCCUACCAAGGCGACGAUCUAUAGCUGGUCUGAGAGGACGAUCAGCCACACUGGGACUGAGACACGGCCCAGACUCCUACGGGAGGCAGCAGUGGGGAAUAUUGGACAAUGGGCGCAAGCCUGAUCCAGCAAUACCGCGUGUGUGAAGAAGGCCUUAGGGUUGUAAAGCACUUUCAAUUGGGAGGAAAACCUGUCGGUCAAUACCCGGCAGCUUGACAUUACCUUUAGAAGAAGCACCGGCUAACUCCGUGCCAGCAGCCGCGGUAA
rnacentral:rRNA from 1 species